GCGACGGGUGAGUACACGUGGGCAAUCUGCCCUUCACUCUGGGACAAGCCCUGGAAACGGGGUCUAAUACCGGAUACCACUCUCUUCCGCAUGGGAGAGGGUUGAAAGCUCCGGCGGUGAAGGAUGAGCCCGCGGCCUAUCAGCUUGUUGGUGGGGUGAUGGCCCACCAAGGCGACGACGGGUAGCCGGCCUGAGAGGGCGACCGGCCACACUGGGACUGAGACACGGCCCAGACUCCUACGGGAGGCAGCAGUGGGGAAUAUUGCACAAUGGGCGAAAGCCUGAUGCAGCGACGCCGCGUGAGGGAUGACGGCCUUCGGGUUGUAAACCUCUUUCAGCAGGGAAGAAGCGAAAGUGACGGUACCUGCAGAAGAAGCGCCGGCUAACUACGUGCCAGCAGCCGCGGUAAUACG
rnacentral:rRNA from 1 species